rnacentral:rRNA from 1 species
GACGAACGCUGGCGGCGCGCUUAACACAUGCAAGUCGAACGGAAAGGCCUGCUUUCCCUUGUGGAUUGCGGGUACUCGAGUGGCGAACGGGUGAGUAACACGUGAGUGAUCUGCCCCCAACUUGGGUAUAAGCCUGGGAAACUGGGUCUAAUUCCCGAUAGGACUGCAGGGUGGUGCCUGUGGUGGAAAACGUGCUUCUAGUGGUUGGGGAUGCGCUCGCGGAGUAUCAGCUUGUUGGUGGGGUAAUGGCCUACCAAGGCGGGGACGGGUAGCCGGCCUGUGAGGGGCGACGGCGGAAUUGAGACUCGGUCAAGGCCCCGACUGCUAGGGGAGGCAGCAAUGGGGAAUAAUGCACCAUAGGCCGGAGCCAGAUGCAGCGAGGCCGCGAGGGGGAUGACGGCCUUGGGGUUGUAAACUACUUGCGACCGAGAGGAAGCUACCUGGUUGGAAGGGUGGUGACGGUAGUGGUAGAAGAAGCACCGGCUAACUACGUG